rnacentral:sRNA from 1 species
UAUUUACAAUGGAAGAGAGGACCAUACUCUUAUAACCUUAAAGUGUGUACGGGAUGUAAGAGUAUUUGAAGUCCUUGUUGAUCCUUUGAGGUAGAAGAGUCUUCUGCGAUCAUGGAGUUGAUGGGCAACUCUUAUUGGGACAUAUCACGAGUCUUCUGCGAUCAUGUACCUCAAGAGUGAGAAUUUUCUUCAUUAGCUCAUCAAUAAUCUUUUAACCUUUCUUUUGUAUCUCUGGAUCAUGAUUGCCUUUUAUGUGACAAAGAGUUUAAACUUAGGUGGGAGUGGGUGGUUAUCUACCCCAUUUUGAUGAUAUCUGCGUUGGCUAUCUUUCUUUGUAACACCUCGGUUUCAUGAAUAUGGUGGUCCAUGCGAAAAGGUUUAAAAAGAAUAAAUUUAACCAUCUAUGUCAGCAAAGUGCAAAUAUAUUUUCCGUCAAACGUCCUGAAAGAACUCCAGGAUUAAGCGUGCUUAAGCCGGAGCAAUUUCAGGAUGGGUGAUUGUUGGACAGAGGUGGGCCCACAUGUCCAAGAGUGAACAUGGGUGCUCAUUGGUAGGGGCGGUCCGGUCGUUACAAGUUGUAUUAGAGCUGAACCCAUGAAGUAUAGAGUUAAGAGGACUCACACCAUCGGGGGUGACAAUUUUGGUGUGAAACGAGGACAUUGCGAUUUGUUAGUGGGGAUGAAUUAUAACACUUCGGUUUUAGAAAUAUGGUAAUACAUACGGAGAAGUUUAACAGAAUUGAUUUGGUCACCUAUAUCACUAAAAUGCACUUAUGUUUUGUAUGGUGUUACAAUAUUAUGUAUAUAAAGUGAAACAAGAAUCGGUAAAGAAAACAGAAAGGGUAAGACAACUUCUUGAGGAGUGAGAGACAACUUUUGAGCAUUGACUUCAAU